UUUUCUUAGUCUUUUUUGUCAAUUUUAGGGUCAUAUUUGCAUAAGUCAUCAUUUAUCACUCUAUUAUGCUCCAUUUGUGUUUUUCUUAAUGUUUCAGGUGAUUUCAUAGUCAUUUGGACGCUUUUGAAGUGUUUGGAGAUAAUUUAGAUGAUAUUUGAAUGGAAAUCGAUGGAUCUAGUUCAUUAAGGGAGGGAUUUAUACUCAUGGAUGUUGUCUCUAAUGAUAUUAUGCAUGGGAAAUGAAUAUAGCAUCUACAAGGAUCGAUAUGCACUUUUCGGAAUUGAAUUUGAGUUAGAAACAAAGGAAUUUUUUUUUUACAGCAAACAAAAGAAAAUUAAUUCCCAGCACUGUUCCAAACUAAAGUAACACAAUGAAAACUUAAAAGCAACUUGCUAAUCCUAAUAAUUAUCAUCCUUGCUUUGUUAGAUCUUGUCAUCUCUCCCUAAGCCAUCUCACAAUAACAUGGUUCUUGACCUGUAUCUUAAUGUGCAGGAUCUUCGAGGAUGAGGCAUACUCAAUGCUGUUCAGCAGCACCAUCAGUUCGUCAGCUUCUUUUUUUUUCCAUUGUUGAGGCUGACUUCGUCUUCCAUGGCGAUCUCCCCUGCAAUUUUUGAGAAACCACCGCCCAAGCUUCCGUCCAUCCCUUGACUUGAUAUUCAAAACCCGGUGGUACCUCUUGCUCCAAGUCAGUGCAAAUUUCGCGAUCUUGGUGAUAUAUUGGGCCGUAUUGUAAUUUGCUAGCUAGGUACUCUAAUUUCUUUAGUGUGCUAUAAGGAUUUGGGUCUGAAUUUUGGAAAAUUUGCUUAUUUCUUGCUUCCCAGAUUCCUUCUAAAAUACCCAUGAAAAGUGGUUGUAUUUUGCUAAUUUCCUUAAUUUUGCUACAUAGAAAGUUUUGUUAAUUGAUAAUCCAAUCUGCAAUUGGAAUAUUCUCGUGAUUAUCAACAUUAAUUCCUAGUUUACUGCUCCUCCAGAUGAGACUUGCAAACUCACAAUCUCGGAAAAUGUGAUUUAAGGUUUCCAAUUUCCCCCCUGUGAGCUAUCCUUAGAUUUACAUAAUUGACAGUUAUGAUCCUCUCCUAGGUCCCUUUUCAAUCUUUCACUUCCUUUAGGUAAGGCAUUAUUGAAAAUUUUCCAUAACAAAAUUUUUUGCCUUGGUGAGUUAUCCUAUUUCCAGAACUUCCUCCAAAUUCGGUUUUUGUUUAGGUUGCUCCAAAUUUGAUUUUCGAUCACAUUUCCGUUACUUCUGCUUCCUAAAAUCGUAGCAUAACCACUCCUCACCGUAUAAUUAGCAUUUUUCUCCCCUUUUCAUACUAGCACAUCAUCGAAACCUUUCUCCAUGGGUGUUAUCUAAUCUAUGUUAGCAGUUGUUUCUUCCGCAAAACAGUGGUUGCACAAGUCAGGUUAACAUCCCACUCUCCCUAUUCUCUUAUGACAGAUAGUGCAUACUCUAUCAUUGGAGAAGAGCUCCUCAGAAUUCUAGGAAGGCGAUUAUCAGUUGAUCCAAGGAUGGUGAAUUUUAGUUUUGCCAAAAGCAACCUUUAUAAAGAACUUGUAAUCCCUAUUCUAUGACAUCCCAACCCCGAGUUCCAGCCUUUCUAUUCCAGGAUUCAUCAAACUAAGAGUCAUCACUUAUUCCAUGUUUUGCAGUAAACACCUUACUUAAAAGGGAAUCUUUAUCGUUUAGAAUACGCCAUCCCUGCUUAGCCAAUAAGGCUUGGUUGACAACCCGAGCAUGCUUGAUUCCUAAACCUCUUAACUCUUUUGGCAUGGUUAGAAUCCUCCAAUUUUUCUAAUAAACACCCUUCCUACUUCUAUUGCCCACCCAUCAAAAUUUAGCAACAAUGCUGUUAAUAUAUUUUAAUAAAUUAAAAGGGCACUUGAAAACUGAGAAAAUGUAGGUACCUAAAUUUGAAAGCACUGAGUUUAUCAAAGUUAAUCUUCCUGCAGAUGAAAGGAAGAGAGAGUUCCCCGCAUUAAGCCGCUCAUUAACUCUAUCCACAACACUUCCAAAGAUUUCUUUUUUUUGAGGAACCAAAAUUUGCAGGAAUACCAAAGUAGACUCCAAAUUUAUCACUCACUCUAACCCUGAGUAAAUUACUGAAUUUAUCCUUAUCAUCAGUGUUGAUGUUAGGGUUGUAUAAAAGAAUAGAUUUGUCCUCAUUGAUAACUUGACUAGAAGCUCUGCAGUAAGUAUUUAAAACAUCACCCAAGGCCUUAACACAUUUCUCGUUCCCCUGUAUAAAAAAGGCUGAAUCAUCUGCGAAUAACAAAUGUGUGAUCUUUAGGGCUCUUUAAGAAACUCACACCCCUGUGAUGUUUCCUUUCCUCUCCUCUUCUUGAAUUAACCCCAUAAGCCCUUCCAUACAUAGAAUAAAUAGGUAAGGAGACAAGGGAUCCUCCUGUAUACGACCACACUUUGGAGUGAAAGCUUCCUGCUUAUUUCCAUUAAUUAAAACUAUAAAGGAGACAGUAGUUACGCAGUUCAUGAUAGUUUUGAUCAUCAACUCAGGCAGCCCCACUUUAAUUCAUAUUUUUUCAAGGAAGUCCCACUUAAUUCUAUUGUAUGCUGAUAAAUCACAUUUAUAUAGAGUUUAUAGGCACAAUUAUGCUAGUUUUAUAAUUGUUUUUUUGAGUCUUUUAUUGUUUUUUAGGCCGCAAUUGCAUAAGUUGUCCUUUUUGUGCUCUAUUACGCUUCGUUUGUGUUUUUCUUAAUGUUUCAGGUAGUUUCUAUAACUAUUUGGACGCUUUCGAAGUGGUUUUGGAAGAAUCGGUCAAUGAAAGGAUGAAAAGUUGAUGAAUUGAGCUUAUUAAUCGAAGAUCUCAUGUUCGUGGAUGUUGACUAUGAGGAUUUUAUGCAUGAGAAAUGAAAAUAGCAUCCACAAUGAUCGUUAUGCACUUUUCGGAAUUGAAUUUGAGUUAGAAACGAAGUUAAACAAUGUUUUACAAAGUGGUAAAACUGGCUCUUAUUCACUCUUUUGAUCAUAACUUGAGUUCUACAGAUCGGAUUGAGGUGAUUCAAAUUGCGUUGAAAACUAGACUUGAAGAGAUUUCCAUUGAAAGGUCGCAAGACCCUAUACAGUUCCUAGAACGCGAGAUACAGCCCUUUGAAGUCAAGCCUACGAAGCUGCCAACCCAUCGCCCAGUCAUCGGGCGAUGGACGUGAUGUACGCUCGAGCGUGAGCUGCUGGUUGGGGCGAUGGUUUUCCAUCGCCCGAUGGUCGAGUGUCGUUCCGACCAUCGGCCACCCAUCGCCCGAUGGGUGGGGUGUGCGCGCAAGCGAUGAGAAAUCCUACAUCGAUUAUAACUCUUUCAAUCGACCAAUCAUAUCACGACUAUUGUAAUUGCUAUUUUUCUGAUUUUAUAUUUAUUUAUUUAUCUUUAGAUUAGUUUUAGGAUAAUAUAAAUACUCAAGGGAUUAUUUUUUUCCCUUAUGCCUUUUUAUACUUUUUAUUUUACGUUCGUUGUAGUUUUCUCUCGAACCCUAGUUUUUCAUGGCAUCUCCAUGGAUUCUUCCAUGGAUGAUUCUUGGGUUUACUAUUUUAAUUCAUUGAGGUAUUUUAUUUCUA